rnacentral:rRNA from 1 species
AUCGAACGCUGGCGGCAGGCCUAACACAUGCAAGUCGAACGAGUGGCGGACGGGUGAGUAAUUGCUGGGCAACUGCCCGACGGAGGGGGAUAACUACUGUAAACGGUAGCUAAUACCGCAUACCAUCGGAUGUGCCCAGAUGGGAUUAGCUAGUAGGUGGGGUAACGGCUCACCGAGGCGACGAGCCCCACCUGGUCUGAGAGGAUGACCAGCCACACUGGAACUGAGACACGGUCCAGACUCCUACGGGAGGCAGCAGUGGGGAAUCUUGGACAAUGGGCGCAAGCCUGAUGCAGCCAUGCCGCGUGUAUGAAGAAGGCCUUCGGGUUGUAAAGUUCUUUCAGCGAGGAGGCGUUACUCACAGAAGAAGCAACGGCUAACUACGUGCCAGCAGCCGCGGUAAUAC